rnacentral:misc_RNA from 1 species
UCCGGUUUGGUCCCGGCAGUCUGUCCAGGUUCCCUUUCGGGCACCCCUGCAUCUCUGCAGGGUUCCUGGCAUGUCAAGCCUUGGUAAGGUUCUUCGCGUUGCGUCGAAUUAAACCACAUGCUCCGCUGCUUGUGCGGGUCCCCGUCAAUUCCUUUGAGUUUUAGCCUUGCGGCCGUACUCCCCAGGCGGGGUGCUUAAUGCGUUAGCUUCGGCACGGAAGGAGUCGACACCUCCCACACCUAGCACCCAUCGUUUACGGCGUGGACUAC